rnacentral:rRNA from 1 species
AUUGAACGCUGGCGGCAGGCUUAACACAUGCAAGUCGAACGGUAGCAGGAGAAAGCUUGCUUUCUUGCUGACGAGUGGCGGACGGGUGAGUAAUGCUUGGGAAUCUGGCUUAUGGAGGGG